rnacentral:rRNA from 1 species
AUUGAACGCUGGCGGCAGGCCUAACACAUGCAAGUCGAGCGGAUGAAGGGAGCUUGCUCCUGGAUUCAGCGGCGGACGGGUGAGUAAUGCCUAGGAAUCUGCCUGGUAGUGGGGGAUAACGUCCGGAAACGGGCGCUAAUACCGCAUACGUCCUGAGGGAGAAAGUGGGGGAUCUUCGGACCUCACGCUACCAGAUGAGCCUAGGUCGGAUUAGCUAGUUGGUGGGGUAAAGGCCUACCAAGGCGACGAUCCGUAACUGGUCUGAGAGGAUGAUCAGUCACACUGGAACUGAGACACGGUCCAGACUCCUACGGGAGGCAGCAGUGGGGAAUAUUGGACAAUGGGCGAAAGCCUGGUCCAGCCAUGCCGCGUGUGUGAAGAAGGUCUUCGGAUUGUAAAGCACUUUAAGUUGGGAGGAAGGGCAGUAAGUUAAUACCUUGCUGUUUUGACGUUACCAACAGAAUAAGCACCGGCUAACUUCGUG